GAUUUAAAACUUGGCGGAUUACGAAACAAAUUGAACAAAAGCAAAAAAAAAAAGUUUGUCUCAAAAUUGUGUCGCUUAAAUCAUUGUGAGUAGGACACAAGCCUGAAUGUCUAGACUUGCGAAAUUUAGAACUAACAUAGCAGGCCUCUUCAGUUUAUGAAGUAAAUUAUUGGUGUCCACCACUAAGACUAAGACUACUUUAUUAAUCCUUCUUGGAAAUUCGUUGUGAUUGCUAGGACUAUUUUCUCAAUUAAAAAAAAAACAACAUCCAUAUAAAUAGCACAGACACGACAUACAGAGUAAUUCAUUGAGUGACUAUAGACAAAAUAGGUCUUCGAGUCUUUCACGUCGUCCCCUAGUCAACGAGUAGCACCGAGACCGUCUGACAGAGUAAAGAAGAAAUGGAGUCUUGUUUUGAGUACCGUACUGGUGGACAGAUGGCGCUGAUGUCUCCAUGACUGAAGAAGAAUCAGAUUUGUACAGUCUCUUCUUUUCAUGUGUUGAGACGUGUGGAAUGAAAUAUGUCUAAUUUGGUUCAUGUCAUAUUAAUCUACUUAAUAAACUAGACUGUUGAAUCACAGAUCAAAACGCUUCUCAACUUUAUACUGUCACAAAUCAUGUUGUGUUAUAAUCA